rnacentral:rRNA from 1 species
CCUACGGGGGGCUGCAGUCGAGAAUCAUUCACAAUGGGGGAAACCCUGAUGGUGCGACGCCGCGUGGGGGAAUGAAGGUCUUCGGAUUGUAAACCCCUGUCAUGUGGGAGCAAAUUAUAAAGAUAGUACCACAAGAGGAAGAGACGGCUAACUCUGUGCCAGCAGCCGCGGUAAUACAGAGGUCUCAAGCGUUGUUCGGAAUCACUGGGCGUAAGGCGUGCGUAGGCUGUUUCGUAAGUCGGGUGUGAAAGGCGCGGGCUCAACCCGCGGACGGCACAUGAUACUGCGAGACUAGAGUAAUGGAGGGGGAACCGGAAUUCUCGGUGUAGCAGUGAAAUGCGUAGAUAUCGAGAGGAACACUCGUGGCGAAGGCGGGUUCCUGGACAUUAACUGACGCUGAGGCACGAAGGCCAGGGGAGCGAAAGGGAUUAGAUACCCUAGUAGUC